rnacentral:rRNA from 1 species
GACGAACGCUGGCGGCGUGCUUAACACAUGCAAGUCGAACGGUGAAGCGCCUUCCUUUUUGGUGGGUGUGGAUGAGUGGCGAACGGGUGAGUAACACGUGAGUAACCUGCCCCCUUCUUCUGGAUAACCGCAUGAAAGUGUGGCUAAUACGGGAUAUUCUGGGUCUGUCGCAUGAUGGGUCUGGGAAAGAUAUUGUUUCUGUGGGGGAUGGGCUCGCGGCCUAUCGGGUUGUUGGGGGGGUGAUGGCCUACCAAGGCGGUGACGGGUAGCCGGCCUGAGAGGGUGGCCGGCCAGACUGGGAGUGAGACACGGUCCAGACUCCGACGGGAGGCAGCAGGGGGGAAUAGGGCACAAUGGGCGCAAGUCUGAUGCAGCGACGCCGCGUGAGGGAUGGAGGCCUUCGGGUUGUGAACCUCUUUCGCCAGUGAAGCAGGCCUGCCUCGUUUGUGGGUGGGUUGACGGUAGCUGGAUAAGAAGCGCCGGCUAACUACGUG